rnacentral:tRNA from 1 species
CUAAUGUGUCAGAUCUAAAUGUAUUAAAUUUAAGAUUUAAAUAUGAAUUACUUAUUCCUUUAGUAA